CUCAAAUUUGAAAUCUGGCACCUUCGGUGUCCGAGUUGUAAUUUGAAGAAGGUAACUUUGGAGUUGGCUCUUGUCUAUGUUCCUUGGAACAGGACGUCACAGAGGGUGAGAAUCCCGUGCGAUGAGAUGUCCAACUCUAUGUAAAGUGCUUUCGAAGAGUCGAGUUGUUUGGGAAUGCAGCUCUAAGUGGGUGGUAAAUUCCAUCUAAAGCUAAAUAUUGGCGAGAGACCGAUAGCGAACAAGUACAGUGAUGGAAAGAUGAAAAGAACUUUGAAAAGAGAGUGAAAAAGUACGUGAAAUUGUUGAAAGGGAAGGGUUUGAGAUCAGACUUGGUAUUUUGUAUGUCUUGCUUUCGGGUGGGGCCUCUGCAGUUUACUGGGCCAGCAUCGGUUUGGACGGUAGGAUAAUGACAUUGGAAUGUGGCACUACUUCGGUGGUGUGUUAUAGACUUUGUUGAUACUGCCUGUCUAGACCGAGGACUGCGUCUUUGACUAGGAUGCUGGCAUAAUGAUCCUAAACCG
rnacentral:rRNA from 1 species